ACAAUGGCGCAAGCCUGAUGCAGCCAUGCGCGUGUAUGAAGAAGGCUACGGGUUGUAAAGUACUUUCAGCAGUGAGGAAGGUGGUAGUGUUAAUAGCACUAUCAUUUGACGUUAGCUGCAGAAGAAGCACCGGCUAACUCCGUGCCAGCAGCCGCGGUAAUACGGAGGGUGCGAGCGUUAAUCGGAAUUACUGGGCGUAAAGCGCAUGCAGGUGGUUUGUUAAGUCAGAUGUGAAAGCCCGGGGCUCAACCUCGGAAUUGCAUUUGAAACUGGCAGACUAGAGUACUGUAGAGGGGGUAGAAUUUCAGGUGUAGCGGUGAAAUGCGUAGAGAUCUGAAGGAAUACCAGUGGCGAAGGCGGCCCCCUGGACAAAGACUGACGCUCAGAUGCGAAAGCGUGGGGAGCAAACAGGAUUAGAUACCCUGGUAG
rnacentral:rRNA from 1 species